ensembl:snRNA U4 U4 spliceosomal RNA
AGCUUUGCGCAGUGGCAGUAUCGUAGCCAAUGAGGUUUAUCCGAGGCGCGAUUAUUGCUAAUUGAAAAAUAAUGUUAUUUGA